GGGUUUACACACUGAUUCUGGCUCAGAUUGAACGCUGGCGGGAUGCUUUACACAUACCGUCGAACGGCAGCACGGACUUCAGUGGUGGCGAAGGUGGCGAACAGGUGAGUAAUGUAUCGGAACGUGCCUAGUAGCGGGGGAUAACUACGCGAAAGCGUAGCUAAUACCGCAUACGCCCUUCGAAGGGGAAAGCGGGGGACCUUCGGGCCUCGCACUGAUAAGGCUUAGCCGAUAUCGGAUUAGCUAGUUGGUGGGGUAACGGCUCACAAGGCGACGAUCCGUAGCUGGUUUGAGAGGACGACCAGCCACACUGGGACUGAGACCUGGCGAACUCCUACGGGAAGGCAGCAGUGGGGAAUUUUGGACAAUGGAAACCCUGAUCAGCCAUCCCGCGCAUUAAUCGAUGAAGGCCUUCGGGUUGUAAAGCACUUUUGGCAGGAAAGAAACGGCACGGGGAUAAUACCCCGUGCAACCGACGAACACCUGCAGAAUAACACCGGCUAGCUACGUGCCAGCAGCCACGGUAAUACGUAGAAGGUGCAAGCGUUAAUCGGAAUUACUGGGCGUAAAGCGUGCGCAGGCGGUUCGGAAAGAAAGAUGUGAAAUCCCAGAGCUUAACUUUGGAACUGCAUUUUUAACUACCGAGCUAGAGUGUGUCAGGGAGGUGGAAUUCCGCGUGUAGCAGUGAAAUGCGUAGAUAUGCGGAGGAACACCGAUGGCGAAGGCAGCCUCCUGGGAUAACACUGACGCUCAUGCACAGCGAUGAGAACCGGAAACAGGAUUAAGAUACCCUGGUAGUCACCGCCCUAAAAACGAUGUCAACUAGCUGUUGGGGCCUUCGGGCCUUACGGUAGCGCAGCUAACGCGUGAAGUUAAACCGCCUGGGAAGUACGGUCGCAAGAUUAAAACUCAAAGGAAUUGACGGGGACCCGCACAAGCGGUGGAUGAUGUGGAUUAAUUCGAUGCAACGCGAAAAACCCCUACCCUUGACAUGUCUGGAAUCCCGAAGAGAUUUGGGAGUGCUCGCAAGAGAACCGGAACACAGGUGCUGCAUGGCUGUCGUCAGCUCGUGUCGUGAGAUGUUGGGUUAAGUCCACGCAACGAGCGCAACCCUUGUCAUUAGUUGCUACGAAAGGGCACUCUAAUGAGACUGCCGGUGACAAACCGGAGGAAGGUGGGGAUGACGUCAAGUCAUGGCCCAUAUGGGUAGGGCUUCACGUCAUACAAUGGUCGGGACAGAGGGUCGCCAACCCGCGAGGGAACAAUCCCAGGAAACUUGAUCAUGGGUCGGAUCACCGGUCACAGCCUCGACCGUGAAGUCAGGAAUCGCUAUUAAUCGCGGAUCAGCAUGUCGCGGUGAAUACGUUCUCGGGUCUUGUACACCGCCCGUCACACCAUGGGAGUGGGUUUUACCAAAGUAGUUAGCCUAACCGUAAGGAGGGCGAUUACCACGGUAGGAUUCAUGACUGGGGUGAAGUCGUAACAAGGUAG
rnacentral:rRNA from 1 species